rnacentral:sRNA from 1 species
AAAAGGAUACGUUUGUUUUAGAAAGUGUUGAUUCUGCUGAUGAACAAUUUCAAAAUACUAAUGCUGAGACUCUCAGUACUAAUUGUGUUCCUAUUAAAAAUGGCAGUCUGUUAAUGGUUUCUGAUAGUGAGAGGACAACAGAAGGGACUUCGCAACAGAAAGUUAAGGAAGGAAAUGGAAAAACAGUGCCUGGAGAGACGGGUCUUCCAGGUUCCACGAAAGAUACAUGUAAAAUUGUACUUGCAACACCAAGACUUCAUAUAACAAUACCUCGGAGAUCAAAAAGAAAUGUUUCAAAGCUUUCUCCUCCAAGCAUAUUUCAAACUGUUACAAAUGGAGUUAAAAAAAAUCAGUGACAGUGUGACAUAGUGAAAAGAACAGUGAGUUGAAUGUAAGAAGCCCCACGUGUUAAGUCUUAUCUUGCUCUGUUACUAGUUGUGUAGUCUUCAAUAAUUUACUUGUUCCCUUUGGUGAUGAACAUUUGAAUCAUUCCUCCUCUUUUUUUCUGAUACUUAUGGUACUAUUAAAAUAGUUAGAUCAAUUAAGAUAGAAAGGAACUGUAGCAUCUGAAGAUUUGAGAAUUUUUCCCAAAUUAAAUACAGAGUAAUCAAUAAAAGACUUUAGAGCAUCAAACUGUUAUAUUAGGACAAAUUCUCUGAAGGAAGUGGAAUGGAAAUACAAGCUUAAGGAGGAAGAUGCAGUGUAAAAUUUCCAAUUGUUAAAUGUUUGCCCAUUAAUUAAUUAAUUAUUUUUGA